UCGAGUUCCCGUACAAUCACUGAAGUUAAGCAACGUCGAGCCUGGUCAGUAGCUAGAUGGGUGACCGCUUGGGAAUACCAGGUGCUGUAAG
rnacentral:rRNA from 1 species